rnacentral:rRNA from 1 species
AUCUAAAUAAUACUUCAAAACAUUUAUCUUAAUAUCUUAGUAUAGGUGAUAGAACAGAUUUAUUCUUAGGCACAAUAGAGAGAGUACCGUGAGGGAACGUUGAAAGAUCUUAUCCUGUAAGCAAUAAAAAGCAAAGAUUAAACCUUCUACCUUUUGCAUAAUGAUUUAGCUAGUCUAUCCGGACAAAAAGAAUUAAAGCCCGUCUUCCCGAAAUUAAGUGAGCUAUUGUAGAACAGUUGUUAGAACGAACUCGUCUAUGUAGCAAAAUAGUGAGAUGAUUUUACAAUAGAGGUGAAAAGCCUAUCGAACUUAAUGAUAGCUGGUUGUCCAAAAAGCGAAUUUUAGUUCAACUUUAAAUUUAACCAAAGUACUAAUAAACUGAAUUUAAAUUUAAAUGCUACUCAAAAGGGGGACAACUCUUUUGAUAUGUGAACAAACUUGCUUAGUGGGUAAUGGUAUACACAUAAUACAUUGUAGGCCUAAAAGCAGCCACCAAUUAAGAAAGCGUUAAAGCUCAAACUAGACUGUCAUUUAAUACCAAUCAUUUAUCAAAACCCCUAACUCAAUAUUGGACAAUUCUAUUAAUAUUUAGAAGAUAUAAUGCUAAUAUGAGUAACAUGAAUUUAUUCUCCUUGCAUAAGCAUAGAUACGACCGGAACAGCCGCUUACACUUAACCAACCAAAUAACUAUACCCAUAUACAAGCAUCCUAUUACCCUUAUUGUUAACCCAACUCAGGCAUGCAUUAAAGGAAAGAUUAAAAGAAAUAAAAGGAACUCGGCAAACAAAACCCCGCCUGUUUACCAAAAACAUCACCUCUAGCAUUUACCAGUAUUAGAGGCACUGCCUGCCCGGUGAGUUAUGACUUUAACGGCCGCGGUAUCCUGACCGUGCAAAGGUAGCAUAAUCACUUGUCUCUUAAUUGGAGACUAGUAUGAAUGGCAUGACGAGGGUUU